rnacentral:siRNA from 1 species
AAGUGUGCAGAAUGAUGACGAUUU